AUGUUCUCAGUGAUGCUCUCAGUGAUGUUCUCAAUGAUGUUCUCAGUGAUGCUCUCAGUGAUGCUCUCAGUGAUGCUCUCAGUGAUGUUCUCAGUGAUCUUCUCAGUGAUGCUCUCAGUGAUGUUCUCAGUGAUGUUCUGUUAUGUUCUCAGUGAUGCUCUCAGCGAUGCUCUCAGUGAUGCACUCAGUGAUGUUCUCAGUGAUGUUCUCAGUGAUGUUCUCAGUUAUGCUCUCAGUGAUGCUCUCAGUGACUUUACAACAUUAAGCUGCAGGUCAACACCACUUCACAAACACUGUGUUUUGUUCUAAGAAGCUGCAUCUCAUAUACCCUUCACAAGGAGACCCAAUGAAGCUGAAAGGACAGCACAAGAUGCAAACAUCACCAGACGGGUUCAAUUCACCGUCUUAUGGAGUUAACACGGGUUUCAAACUUACAGCUAAAGUCUAAAAACAUUUGAACAAAACCCAAUAUAUGUUAAAAACAUAUUCAGUAUUCAUUUAUACAGAGAAUGCGAUGGACAGAUGUGGAUUUCUGUUUUAUGCUAUAAUAACAUAAUGUUUCUCAAAAUGUGCAUUGUUGAUUUUUGAGUUUAGUAGAAAUGUUUCAGUCCAUAUGAGGCUCUGCUCAGUCCAGUAUCUACAGCCUGUAAUGGCUCAGUCACUGGUUUGUCUGGUCAGUGACCUUUUAUUGGGCAGCACAGCAACGAGGGGUUAGUAUUAAGACGAGCAGCCAGGCGUUGAACAGUGUGUGAGACGGCUCUGAUCCUGAGUCCACUCAGAGAAGCUGAUCCAGGACCUGCUAAUGUUGGGUGUUUUACAAGGACCUCAUUUUAAAGCAGUUGUGUGGCGAUAGAUUUUAGAACCAUAGAAGCCCUGACCCUGUUGCGUAAACAGCAGUCAGCUGUUAAUGAGGAGUGUUAAUACAAAACCCUGCUAUUAGCAGAUUAUCUCUAUGAAGGCAGGUGUUGACUCGGCUGCAGUGUUGACGGAAGAACUUUUAAGUAUUUUUGAAAACCUUCGAAUGCAUAAAUUGCUUUUCUCUGUCGUCAUCACAUGGUGUCUAUGUUGUAAUGUGGGCCAUGACAGUGUGUACAUGUAAAUAGGACUGUGUGGUGAAGCAGCGAAGCUCUGCACCUGGUGACUUUAAAACAAACGCAUGGGACGGUUCCCAGAAUAGAAGGAAUAAAGGCCAUUUCCUCCUCCUCUGCCUGAGACGG
rnacentral:lncRNA from 1 species